AUGGUGCUGUUUUCUCUGUGGACUCAGCAGCCGCUGGAGGUCCGAGCAGUUCCUCAGGUAGAUAUCAGUCGACGUCCUCAAACGUCUCCCCGUAGUUUAAUGUUGAGAGGAAAAUGUAAACCGAUACAUUUCUGUUUUGGUUUUGACUUUUUUGACUAUUUUUCUAAUAAAAAGACAUGUCUGUUAAACACUCUCUUCCUGUUUUCCUGUCAGGUUCUGCUGUCCUGUAGGUUCUGCAGGUUAUCCAGGUGCUCUAGAAUCGUCAGGUUCUGCAGGCUAUCCUGGUUCUGCUGGGUCUCCAGGUUCUGUAGAUCCAGCGGGAUCUGCAGAUUAUCUAGGUUCUGCCGGUUCUGUAGAUCCAGCAGGAUCUGGAGGUUAUCCUGGAUCUGCAGGAUCUGCCGGUUCUGUAGAUCCAGCAGGAUCUGCAGUGUAUCCUGGUUCUGUAGGGUAUCCAGGUUCUGCAGAUUCUGCAGGAUCCGCCGGUUCUGUAGAUCCAGCAGGAUCUGCAGGAUCUGGAGGUUAUCCUGGUUCAGCAGGAUCUCCAGGUUCUGUAGAUCCAGCAGGAUCUGCAGCUCAUCCAGGUUCUGUAGGAUCUGCCGGUUCUGUAGAUCCAGCAGGAUCUGCAGCUCAUACUGGUUCUGUAGGAUCUGCCGGUUCUGUAGAUCCAGCAGGAUCUGCAGCUCAUUUUUCUGCAGGUCAGACUCAUCUAGGCUCAGAUAA
rnacentral:lncRNA from 1 species